AAAAUCUUCGGAGAACGUCGGCAGAAAGUACAAUAUGCGCUGUGCAAUGCUGGUCGCGUCCGCCAUGUUUUGACUCGAAAAUCCCGCUCAGAGAGUGACGUCAUCGCACAUCACCACAGGCAGCCCGAAAGAAUAACGCGAAUCCCAACUCAAGCAAGCUGACAGCUUUAAAGGCAUGAUGCUAGGGCAGGAUGUAUUCAUUAACACAGCUAAGUAACAAAAUGAAGUUACAAAUGAAAACUUGUUAUAAAAAAAAAUGAACCAGGCUGAUAAAAUAAACUAAAAGUAGUCAGAAACUUUGAAAACAAGUUAGAGUGGUUUAUUUCAUUCACCCUUUGACAAAGUGGCUGGUACAAAACACUGACCAACAUUGGCCCUUAUUGCAAAUGGACUAAAUGGGUUUUCUAGUAAAAAAAAUAUAGUUUCAAUUUGAACUAAUUAACUGCACAGGGUUUUGUGAGCAAUCUACUUUUCAAAUAGCUGAUAUGAAUACAGCUCAAUUCUUAGGAAUCUGAGAUGAUAUUUGCAAAAAUCAACAGCAAUGUACCAUUAGACCUUUCAUGAAAUUAUUUCAAAGAUAAUUUAGCACUGUACAUGGAAGUGAUGUGAAAUGAAAAUAUAGCUACCUUUUUUUUAACAAACUGCAUCUUUUUGUAAUGCCACACCAAGCCCUAUUUUAUGUUUUAACACAAAAAUACCAGGUGUACAUACCCUUGAAACCAUGAUGCUUCAAUAUGGGGGUCUAGUGUCAGUGUUUUGUACGAUCCACCCAAGACAAAGUGUUAAUUCAAAGAGUAUUAGGCAAAAAAAAACAGUAAAGAAGGUUGAUAAAACUGUUUAUCCAAUAUUUGUAAUUUCUACCAAAUAAUUUUUAUUACCCUUCAACUGAGAGAAAAUUAUAAAAAUCAAGAAAAUCUAGUAGUAGUGCAAUGUGAAAGGAAGGGAAUUUGGACAGUGUGGGCAAGUAUGGAGCACAUUUACUGGAAAAAACGAUAUGCUAAUGUAUAGAAACGCGUUGUGUGUUGAUGUGGUUUUAAAUGUUAAAGAGAAUAAAAAAAAGCACCCAUUUUACUGUAAAAAA